rnacentral:lncRNA from 10 species
CGCGCACGCAACGGCGCCGGCGUCGCGCCGCCGCGACCGCCCCGCCGGGAGGCCCUGCACGCACGCGCCGCCGGCCGGGCCAGAUGACCAGAGGAGGGACGCCACCUGGUGGUAAGAGUGUGGAGUGAGCAUUGAGUUCCCUUCUCAAAAUUUGCCUCCAGUAAACAAAAUAAUCCUGCCUUCUAGUCAACCCUAUCAAAGAGCUGAGCAUCAGGGAAAAACUCCGAUCUCCAGGAACAAAUGACAAAAAAAAAAAAAAGUAGAAGGCACUGUUUCCAAAUGGAGCAGAGGAACUGAAAUCCAAGUUAGAGACAUGAUCUAUAAACACACAGGAAAGCAACCAAAAGAAAGCUUGGAUUUGCUCAUCAUUUCAUCUAAAUGUAGUGAUAAUAAUAAUGACUUUCCACUUACUGCGUAAUACUACGUUCCAGAUGCAUGGGUACACUGUGCUGUGUGCUGAACAUAUUUAAUCUCCUUUAAUUCUCAGCAACAACCUUAUAAGGGAGAUAUUACUAUACCCAUUUUAUGGGGAACAAAUGUCAGUUCAGAAAGUUUGAGUAACUCCCAGGAUCACACAGCCAGGACCUGACAAGCUGGGAUUUGACUUCAGGUCUGUGGACUCUGAAACUCAUGAUAUUAACCAUUAGGUUAGACACCUGAUAGAUAUGGCCAUUCAACAGGUUGAAAGUGGAUCUCAUCAUCUUUGCUUCUCUUCCUCCUCCACUUCACACCUCAGCGAACAGCACAACCUGUCCUCCCCACACCUAUCCAGUUGACCAAGCCAGACAUCCAGGCAGGCUGUACAGGAAGCAUGAUGCUGGCAUCUCCUUGGCUUCUGGGGAGGCCUCAGGAAACUUACAAUCAUGGUGGAAGGCAAAGGGGAAGUAGGCACGUCUUACAUGGCUGGAGCAGGCAGAAGAGAGGGAGCAGGGAGGUACUACACACUUUUAAACAACCAGCUCUCAUGAUCACUCAUUUACUCACUAUCACGAGAAACAGCACCAAGAGGAUGAUGCUAAACAUUCAUGAAAGACCAUCCCCAUGAUCCAAUCACCUCCCACUAGGCCUCACCUCCAACACUGGGGAUUACAAUUGACAUGAUAUUUGGGCAGGGACACAGAUCCAAACCAUGUCAUCCCUUUAAAGAAGUAAUUAAGGCUGGAUGUGGUGGCUUAUGCCUCUAAUCCCAGCACUUUGGGAGGCCAAGGGAGGAUGGCUUGCAGCUAGGAGUUGGAGACCAGCCUGAUCAACAUAGCAAUACCAUCUCUAAAAAAUAAAAAGUAACUAAGUUAAAGUACAGUCAUCAGGGUGGGCCCUAAUCCAAUGUGACUACUAUCCUUAUAAGAAGAAAUUAGGACACAGGAAACAGAGGGACAAAUGUGAAGACAUAGUGAGAAGGUGGCCAUCUGCAAGCCACGGAGAGAGGCCCCAGAAGAAACCAAGCUGCUGACAUCAUCAUCUUGGACUUCUCGCCUCCAGAACUGUGAGAAAAUACAUUUUCGUUGCUUCAGUCACCUAGUCUGGGGCAUUUUGUUACAGCAGCCCUAGCAAACUAAUACAAUCAAGAAAGGAAAUCAGACUCAGCAAGGCUGAGGGACCCACCUAGCGCUGUCUAGCUCCUUAGUAAUGCAUUCAUCACAUUCUGCCUGUGACCACUCUCUUAUGUUGAUUAUCAGAUAAAAUAAUGGAUUUAACUCUUAUUAUUUAACUUCUUGAGUGUUUGGGUCUUAUUGCUCCAACUGGCACUCAGGGUAAGGGGCCUUGUCUUCCCCUUCUCAGUAUUU